CUGCAGAAUAGUGUGUUUGCCCAAUGCUACAGUGAGACUGUGUAAUAUAUAGCUCAUCUGAGUUACAAGCUAAAAUGAGGAUAAAGUUUCUACUCUUUUGAAGGUAGUUCUAGGCUUUUUGACCAGAUGUUAACGCUGGAAGACCUCCAAAAUUCAUUAAUGUACCCCCUUUUACACCAUAACAAAUUUCAUAACUCAUUCAUCAUAUAACAUGAAUUAGCAUGGACUGGAGAUGUUCUGGAGAUGUUUCUGCACUGAGGUACUGACUUACUGUGCCCACAAAUCCUAGCAAAAUAGAUAAUUCACUCUCCUGUUUGCAACAGACGACUGACUAGCAGCUAUGCCGCCAAAUAACGACUUUCUCCAGCUAAAUUUCGAUAUCUGUUGCUUCCAGCUCCAAAACUUGCAACGAAAAAUACGUCUACUCUAAAGUUCAGCUAUAAAACUACGGUCUAGCAGUCAAGAUGGAAAUAUGGAAGGACUUU